AGCUGAAUCGGAUGGCCGUGGACACUGUCGAGACUGCCGUCGCUUUGGUUCCGCCGCAGCCGCCGCCGAGAUCGGAGAUGAGCGAGGACGAGCUCCCGCCCGUCGAGGGGUGGGCGAAGCGGAAGCGCUCGAAGCGCCACCACCGUUUCUUCGACCACCCGCCGACUGAGGAGGAGUACCUGGCCCUCUGCCUCAUGAUGCUCGCCCGCGGCGGCUCCGGCCACCACCUCCCGUCCGUCUCCACCGCCUCUGCCGCGGCGACUCCUACGCCCACCGCGAAGGUCGGGUUCAAGUGCUCCGUCUGCGGCAAGGCCUUCGGUUCCUACCAAGCGCUAGGAGGGCACAAGGCCAGCCACCGCAAGCUCAACGCCAGCAGCGGCGGGGAGGAGCCCUCCGCCGCCGCGUCCCCGGCCGCUUCCGCUUCCGGCUC
rnacentral:lncRNA from 1 species